rnacentral:rRNA from 1 species
GACAUCAGGAGGUUAGUGCAAUGGCAUAAGCCAGCUUGACUGCGAGCGUGACGGCGCGAGCAGGUGCGAAAGCAGGUCAUAGUGAUCCGGUGGUUCUGAAUGGAAGGGCCAUCGCUCAACGGAUAAAAGGUACUCCGGGGAUAACAGGCUGAUACCGCCCAAGAGUUCAUAUCGACGGCGGUGUUUGGCACCUCGAUGUCGGCUCAUCACAUCCUGGGGCUGAAGUAGGUCCCAAGGGUAUGGCUGUUCGCCAUUUAAAGUGGUACGCGAGCUGGGUUUAGAACGUCGUGAGACAGUUCGGUCCCUAUCUGCCGUGGGCGCUGGAGAACUGAGGGGGGCUGCUCCUAGUACGAGAGGACCGGAGUGGACGCAUCACUGGUGUUCGGGUUGUCAUGCCAAUGGCACUGCCCGGUAGCUAAAUGCGGAAGAGAUAAGUGCUGAAAGCAUCUAAGCACGAAACUUGCCCCGAGAUGAGUUCUCCCUGACCCUUUAAGGGUCCUGAAGGAACGUUGAAGACGACGACGUUGAUAGGCCGGGUGUGUAAGCGCAGCGAUGCGUUGAGCUAACCGGUACUAAUGAACCGUGAGGCUUAACCUU